AUUGAACGCUGGCGGCAUGCUUUACACAUGCAAGUCGAACGGUAACAGGCCUUCGGGCGCUGACGAGUGGCGAACGGGUGAGUAAUGCAUCGGAACGUGCCCAGUCGUGGGGGAUAACGCAGCGAAAGCUGUGCUAAUACCGCAUACGAUCUGCGGAUGAAAGCGGGGGACCUUCGGGUCUCGCGCGAUUGGAGCGGCCGAUGUCAGAUUAGGUAGUUGGUGGGGUAAAGGCUCACCAAGCCAACGAUCUGUAGCUGGUCUGAGAGGACGACCAGCCACACUGGGACUGAGACACGGCCCAGACUCCCACGGGAGGCAGCAGUGGGGAAUUUUGGACAAUGGGCGCAAGCCUGAUCCAGCAAUGCCGCGUGCAGGAAGAAGGCCUUCGGGUUGUAAACUGCUUUUGUACGGAGCGAAAAGGCUCCCUCUAAUACAGGGGGCUCAUGACGGUACCGUAAGAAUAAGCACCGGCUAACUACGUGCCAGCCGCCGCAGUAAGAC
rnacentral:rRNA from 1 species